UUAAAGAGCCUGCUGUGAGCUCAGAUGAGACACUACCAACUGAAAAUGAAGAAGUUUCAGUGGACGCACCUGAAUCAGAAGCACUCAUAACACCCGCAGAGCAACCUGUUGUAGAAACAGCUCUGAACCAAGAAAAUGUCAUCAAAUUGUCUGAGGCUUUGGAUGGGGAAUGCUCUGAAAAAACUUUACAAGACCAAAAUAAAGUUGAAGAGAAGACAACCAUUAUUUCAGGUCCAUCUGUGUGCACCCAUUGUAAUGAGUUAAUUACUGGUAAUGUCAGAAUCACCGUUGACUCCCUUGCAAUCUGCUGCCACCUGGAGUGCUUCAAGUGUGGGAAAUGCCAGAAGAAUUUGGGUGAUCUGGAUUUAAGAAUGUUCAAUCAUGAAGCAGCCAUAAUCUGUGAAGAAUGCUUUGAUGCAAUCUUCUAUAUCAGUUAACCAGCAUUUGACAAUGAGCCAUCACAUUUGAUCAUAUCCAGAAUGAACCAUCACGUGUGAUCAUAUCCAGAAUGAACCAUCACGUGUGAUAAUAUCCAGAAUGAA